GGGCCUAUAGCUCGCUCAGUUGGUUAGAGCACAUGCCUGAUAAGCGUGAGGUCGGUGGUUCAAGUCCAUUUAGGCCACCAUAACCACA
rnacentral:tRNA from 1 species